CACAAAUCGCAUUUUUUGGUCACUUAGACUUCCCUGACAGCCACAGUCUGAUCUCUCUGCAUUCCAACUUCGCUUUUUUUCACCUCUAAUGGCAAAUCAACCAUCCUUUCAAUUUAUUUCUCUCUUCUCCAAACCCUAAUCUUCACGCUUCACUUCCAUUUUCAAGGAUGUGGUAGCGGCUGCUUUUGAAUGUCGAAGUUUUCGUCUCCCGUUUCGUUUGGUAUAACAUGCAUUAGGAUCGGGUAAAAGUUGGCUGUUGGUUUCUGGGUGAAGUCGUUCUCGAAUGGGAGCUUCAGCUUUAUAGGUUGUUUUAUGGGGCUCUGGAUUUUUCAUUCCAAGCAGCACCAACUAAGUUUGAAUCCUUAUAUGUUAUUUUACACCAAUGAUGAAAAGUCUUGCCCCUGAUUUUAGAAGAGAAUUUCAUUUAUGAGAAAUUGAGGAACAGUAGUGGUCCAGAAGAACAUCCUUACCAUGAGUGCACUAGGUGUUUGUCCUACCGAGGAUGCCAUACAUGCAUUGUUAGAUUAUUUAGUUGAACCUAUGCUGCCUGCAAAGUCAUCUUCGAGAGAUAAUCCACCACAAUCUUUACAGCAAUCAGUUGCAAAGCAGGUGCAUGCCGUUGUUAUAUUGUACAACUACUACCACCGGAAACAACAUCCACACCUUGAACUUUUGAGUUUUGAGGCAUUUUGCAAGUUGGCUGUGGUCGUAAAACCAGCUUUAUUGUCUCACAUGAAACUCAUGCAAAGCUCAGAUGAUACUGAAUUGGAAAACCCUGAGAAGCAGCUUUCUCCAGCAGAAAAAGCAAUUAUGGAUGCAUGUGACAUAGCCACUUGUCUAGAGGCAUCAAAAGAUGAAAACGUAGAGGGCUGGCCUCUUUCAAAGGUUGCUGUUCUUUUAAUUGACUCCAGGAAGGAGUGUUGCCAUUUGCUAUUUAGUUUCAUCACUCAAGGAGUUUGGUCUGUGAUUGAACAAGAUUUGGAUACCUCUGAGUGCCAACCAGAAACUGUGGAAGAGGAAAAACAUGUAAACAAAAAGAGAAGAGUGAUUAAGAAACCUUCAAAAGAGGUGUCAGUUGUUGAUGAAGCUAAGACACAGCAGCUUGCAUAUUCAGCAGUUAAGGAGGCAACUGGGAUUAAUCAAAGAGAUCUCAAAAUUUUGGAUGGUCAUGUUGUAUACUCUCUAAGUAAAGAAAAAUCAGCGGUCCGCUUUUAUAUGAUUCAGUGCACCCAAUCAGCGACCGAAGAUGUAAUUCAAGUUCCCAUAAAAGAUGCUAUGGACAGUUUGCAGGGUUCGUUGUUUAGAAAAGAUGGUAGGAGAUGGAGCAUUACCUCAAAAGUUGAGCACUUCCACAUUCUUCCUUAUGCUAAGAUGGUGCUAACUUGGUUGCAAAGGGAAACUUCAAGAGAUAGUUUGCGAGUCGUAAGUGGAGAAAAGAUGGAUGAAAACUUGAGCAAGCUUGAGAGAAUAGAUGCACCUAGGAAGCUUGAAAUUCAAAACGACCAAGAUGGUGAUAGUGCAAACGAUUUGAGUAAAGGGACUAGCAUUUAUGGUGAAGGAUUGGAGAAAUUGCACAAUAAAACUAAUCAUGUGGGUAGUUUGCAUGAUGCAAUCUGCAGGCCCCAGAUUACUAACGUGGAUGACUUGGUUCCCUCCUAUCCAGUGGACAAGAAAAAGGAUGUACCCAAUACUAGCCAAGUUAUUGUUUCAUAUACAAAGAAAAGAAAUGCUCGACAAGUUGACAAUGGCCAUGAAGUGAUGAUCCCAUGUACAGGGAAUGAAUCGAAUGCCUCAGAAAGUGGUAUCAAAAUCAAGGAUGGAGUAUUGGCAACAAACCCGUGUAUUGCUGAAUGCAGUGGUGAAAAGAUUGCUUCUGGAAACUUCUCUGACAAUGUUUCAUUUGAUCAAAAUAGGAACGGUGAUCAUGCUCUUAUCACCUGUCAAUCAAACAUAGAGCACCUUUCGAAACUACAGGCCAUUCUAGUUUCAAAAGAAACAGCAUUAUCACAAGCUGCAAUUAGAGCUCUAAUAAGAAAGAGGGAUAAACUGUCCCAUCAGCAGCGCAUCAUUGAAGAUGAGAUAGCUCAGUGUGAUAAAAAGGUGCAGACAAUAUUAAGGGGUGAUGAAGAUGAUUUGGUUAUAAAGCUGGAUUCUGUGAUUGAGUGCUGUAAUGAUGUAUGUCUAAGAAAUACUGCCGAAGAUGGAUCUUAUCAAUGCUUUAAAGAAAACUGCUCAUCUCAAUAUGUUACGAGGAAGAGAUUAUCAGAAGCAGUUCUCUGUGUACGAAGUCCAUGUCAGGAUGAUGUUAGGCCUCCAAUAGUAAGAGUGUACGUGAGGAGGGGUAGAAAGUGAAAUGUAUCCUUUGAAAGUUAGUUAGGUUAGACCAUGCUUGUAUUGUCUAUGUAGGGGAAUGAUGCAAGUGUGAGGGAAGAGGAAUCUUGUGUGAAGUUUGUAUAGGGAGAUAAGCUGGUCCUCAAGUUUUGUAAGGUGCUUGGUUCACCUCUUUCUUUGUGUAUAGUAAUAAUAUCGGUGUUGAUACUAUACUUUUUGUUUAUGAUAGUUGUAAAAAAAAAAACCAAAACGAAAUUUAAGAGACUUCAACUUGAAACUUGAUCUCUUGUACCUGUAAUUUGAACUUUUUUUGAAAUUGGCUUAAUUGAUCCCUCUGCCAACUAGGUUCUUCAAAUUAAACAGUAAUAUACACAUGGACUUCUUUUUCUUGAAUGACUUUCCUUUCUUUGAUGAGGGACACGAGUAUUAAUGUCAAGUCGCGAUGGCCUGAAAGUAAUAAAUGUUCACAUUUUACCCAGGAUGCAGUGAAUGGAUCAUAAAAAAGCUUGAACUGGAUGCUAUAUGUCAUAAAAAUAAUUGGAUAUUGCCAGUUUACAGCAUUUCGUCGUCAGAUGGUGGAUUCCAAGCUAAUGUAUUUGUA